rnacentral:rRNA from 1 species
GUCUGUGUGAAUUAAUUAUAAAGUCUGGCCUGCCCGCUGAAUUUUUAAAGGGCCGCGGUAAUUUGACCGUGCGAAGGUAGCAUAAUCAGUAGUCUUUUAAUUGAAGGCUUGAAUGAAGGGUUGGACGAGGGAUAGGCUGUCUUUUUUACGUUGUUUGAAUUUAACUUUUAAGUGAGAAGGCUUAAAUAUUUAAAGGGACGAUAAGACCCUAUAAAACUUAACAUUUAUUARUUUUGACUCUUAAUUUGUGUUGAAAGUAGUUUUAGUUAAUUGAUGUUAUGUUGGGGAGAUAUAGAUAUAAGUGAAGUAACUGUCUAGUGAAUUUAAUAGCUAUAAUUAGUGUUCGAUCCUUUUUUAGGGAUUUUAAGAAAAAGUUACUUUAGGGAUAACAGCGUAAUUUUCCUUGAGAGUUCUUAUCGACAGGAGUAGUUGCGACCUCGAUGUUGAAUUAAAAUUUUUAGUUAGGUGUAGCCGCUUAAUCUUAUAGGUCUGUUCGACUUUUAAAAUUUUACAUGAUUUGAGUUCAAACCGGUGUGAGCCA